GUGGUUGUGGCUUAGUGGUAGAGUGCUUGCCUCAUAUGUGUGAAGUCCUGGGUUCGAUCCUCAGCACUACA
rnacentral:tRNA from 1 species